UCACUACUAUCUAUUAUGUUCUGGCUUCUUUUGUUAUUUUGUUAUUUUUAUAGUAAUAGACUAUAGAGUACUACAUAUUUGCAUUGUAUAUUAGUAUAUUUCGUAUUUUAAAAAAACAAAUAUUUUUUUUUUCAAACAUAAAUAUGCCAAACUAUUGUUGUGUGCGAGAACUUCAUACCAUCUCCAAAACUAUUUUUAAAGUACCACAAAAUGAGGAUAUGAAGAAAAAGUGGGAAGAAGUGUUAGGAUUUACUAUUAAAAAAAGUUACCAUAUUUGAGCUACUCAUUUUGAAGACUCUGAUAUCAUCAGUAAAUGGAAGUCUGGUCAAGAGUCUAAUAAGUACACGAUAUGUUUGAAAAGACUUCAUUUAAAAAAAGGAGCAAUUCCUGUUCCUUGUAAAAAAAAGAUUUAUUCACAAACUUUGGAAAGUAUAAAAGAUAGUGAAUUAAAUAAGGCAUGCACAUCUAGCUUGGACAGCACAUUAGAUCUUCCUCAUACGGAUACCUUAAAUUCAUUUAAUUUAAGUUCUCCAAAUAUUGAUUUAAUAAAACAUGAUCACUUGUACUGUAUUCAGACAUUAUCA